CAGCAAACCUUUCCCUGCUGUGAGGUGGGCAAGUUAGUUGCUCCAAAAACAAGAUAAAAUGAUUGAGUUCUUUUCUCAAGCGGGAGUCGGAGUUUAUCUGCUCUGAGAGCCCCAGCAGCUACUAUUAAUGAGUGUCUGGAAUAUGUUCCUGGCAUUUCACCUACCCUCUCUCCAAUCCUUCCAAGAAACUCACAAAGCAGGGCUUUUUCUUGAACUUCUCUUCCUCACAACAGUUAAAUCAUCCAUUUAAAGAUGUCAAACAACCUCCGUGUUCUAAGCCAGACCAUCAACUUAACUUGUAAAACUACCAACUGUUGCUACACACAGGCAAAGGAAUUAAACUUGGUAGCUGAUCAUUUGAUUACAUCUAUCAGUCUACUGGAGGGCUUCAACGCAGAGUAGGUGGAAUUCAUGGUUCAAAUCAGAGUAUUAAUGGGAUCUGUUUGCACACCAAUACCUGAUCUCCUUGGCACAAAUACAGAGCUGAUUCUUAAAGCAUGUCCCCACAAUAAAGCUUUUCUUAAUCAUU
rnacentral:lncRNA from 1 species